GAGUUUGAUCCUGGCUCAGGACGAACGCUGGCGGCGUGCCUAACACAUGCAAGUCGAACGAAGUUUGCAUUUCCACCAAGCGUUGAACGAAGCUCCUCAAGCGCAUUUGCUUACGGGAGAAGAAAAAACUUGUUUAACAAAAAAAGUGGAAGCUGAUAGUGAUUAAGUAUGAAGUAGCAAAUGCGCUUCACGCUAUAUCCAAGUGACAACACCACACAACAAUCAGAAAUGAAAGUUUAGUGCUUGGUGGAGAUGCAAACUUAGUGGCGGACGGGUGAGUAACGCGUGAACAAUCUGCCCUAUACAGAGGAAUAGCCUCGGGAAACCGGGAUUAAAACCGCAUGACACUUUAGUAUCGCAUGAUACAGAAGUCAAAUUGAUUAAGAGGUAUAGGAUGAGUUCGCGUCUGAUUAGCUAGUUGGUGAGGUAAAGGCUCACCAAGGCGACGAUCAGUAGCCGGCCUGAGAGGGUGAACGGCCACACUGGAACUGAGACACGGUCCAGACUCCUACGGGAGGCAGCAGUGGGGAAUAUUGCACAAUGGAGGAAACUCUGAUGCAGCGACGCCGCGUGAGUGAAGAAGGUCUUCGGAUCGUAAAACUCUGUCCUUGGUGAAGAAAAAAUGACGGUAGCCAAGGAGGAAGCCCCGGCUAACUACGUGCCAGCAGCCGCGGUAAUACGUAGGGGGCGAGCGUUGUCCGGAUUUACUGGGCGUAAAGGGUGAGUAGGCGGUUAUAUAUGUCAGAUGUAAAAGGCGUAGGCUCAACUUACGUAAGCAUUUGAAACUGUAUAACUUGAGUGCGGGAGAGGUAAGUGGAAUUCCUAGUGUAGCGGUGAAAUGCGUAGAUAUUAGGAGGAACACCAGUGGCGAAGGCGACUUACUGGACCGUAACUGACGCUGAGUCACGAAAGCGUGGGUAGCAAACAGGAUUAGAUACCCUGGUAGUCCACGCUGUAAACGAUGAGUGCUAGGUGUUGGGUAGCGAUACUCAGUGCCGAAGUAAACACAAUAAGCACUCCGCCUGGGGAGUACGGUCGCAAGACUGAAACUCAAAGGAAUUGACGGGGACCCGCACAAGCAGCGGAGCAUGUGGUUUAAUUCGAAGCAACGCGAAGAACCUUACCAAGGUUUGACAUCCCCUUGACAGAUGCAGAGGUGUGUCCUCCCCUUCGGGGGCAAGGGAGACAGGUGGUGCAUGGUUGUCGUCAGCUCGUGUCGUGAGAUGUUGGGUUAAGUCCCGCAACGAGCGCAACCCUUAUCAUUAGUUGCCAGCAGGUAAAGCUGGGCCCUCUAAUGAGACUGCCGGUGAUAAACCGGAGGAAGGUGGGGAUGACGUCAAAUCAUCAUGCCCCUUAUAUCUUGGGCUACAUACGUGCUACAAUGGUCGGUACAACGGGGAGCGAAAGAGCAAUCUGGAGCAAAUCCCAAUAAACCGAUCCCAGUUCGGAUUGUAGGCUGCAACUCGCCUACAUGAAGUCGGAGUUGCUAGUAAUCGCGAAUCAGAACGUCGCGGUGAAUGCGUUCCCGGGUCUUGUACACACCGCCCGUCACACCAUGGAAGUUGGUAAUACCCGAAGUCGCUGAGCUAACCGCAAGGAGGCAGGCGCCGAAGGUAGGAUCAAUGACUGGGGUGAAGUCGUAACAAGGUAGCCGUA
rnacentral:rRNA from 1 species